GAAUCAUCUGGCCUCCUUUGAAAGAGGCUGAACUGGCCAGCAGGUGUAUGAGAAACUAUAGAGAAGAGAAGUGUGAAGAGAGAGCCCCUUAGAAGAGCUUCGUUCUAGAUUGAGCCAGUGGAGAGCAGUCUCCAUGCUGAGGUACCUACAGCCGGAGUGGGAAGACUUACUGCAGAGGGCGAUACUCUCUUCAGACAGUGUGAUUUUAUUAUUCUCAUGCAGUUAAAUUAUAUGGAUGGGAAGCAAUGCUGUGCUUUGAGCCCACCUCAGAGAUGUGAUUUUUUAAAAAAUCAAUUUUAUGGAGGUAAACUUACAUGCCAAUAAGAUAUACUCAUUUUACAUGUACAGUUCAAUGAGUUUUGAUAAAUGCAGACA
rnacentral:lncRNA from 1 species